UACGUAGGGAGCGAGCGUUGUCCGGGAUUAUUGGGCGUAAAGGGCGUGUAGGCGGGUUUGCAAGUCGGGCGUGAAAGGCACUGGCUCAACCAGUGUAAGCGUUCGAAACGGUAGACCUUGAGUGCAGUAGAGGGAAGCGGAAUUUCUGGUGUAGCGGUGGAAUGCGUAGAGAUCAGAAGGAACACCGGUGGCGAAGGCGGCUUCCUGGACUGCCACUGACGCUGAGGCGCGAAAGCGUGGGGAGCAAACAGG
rnacentral:rRNA from 1 species